rnacentral:rRNA from 1 species
UGGGGAAUAUUGCACAAUGGGCGCAAGCCUGAUGCAGCCAUGCCGCGUGUGUGAAGAAGGCCUUCGGGUUGUAAAGCACUUUCAGCGGGGAGGAAGGCGAUAAGGUUAAUAACCUUGUCGAUUGACGUUACCCGCAGAAGAAGCACCGGCUAACUCCGUGCCAGCAGCCGCGGUAAUACGGAGGGUGCAAGCGUUAAUCGGAAUUACUGGGCGUAAAGCGCACGCAGGCGGUCUGUCAAGUCGGAUGUGAAAUCCCCGGGCUCAACCUGGGAACUGCAUUCGAAACUGGCAGGCUAGAGUCUUGUAGAGGGGGGUAGAAUUCCAGGUGUAGCGGUGAAAAGCGUAGAGAUCUGGAGGAAUACCGGUGGCGAAGGCGGCCCCCUGGACAAAGACUGACGCUCAGGUGCGAAAGCGUGGGGAGCAAACAGG